rnacentral:rRNA from 1 species
UACGGAGGGCGCAAGCGUUACUCGGAAUUAUUGGGCGUAAAGGGCGCGUAGUCGAUCCUGUAAUUCUCGUGUGAAAUCCCAGGGCUUAACCCUGGAAUGGCAAGAGAAACUGCUGGAAUUGAGUUCCGGAGAGGAAGGCAGAAUUCCCGGUGUAGCGGUGAAAUGCGUAGAUAUCGGGAGGAAUACCAGUGGCGAAGGCGGCCUUCUGGACGGAUACUGACGCUGAGGCGCGAAAGCCAGGGGAGCAAACGGG